UACGUAGGGGGCGAGCGUUGUCCGGAAUUAUUGGGCGUAACGAGCGUGUAGGCUGUUCGUUACGUUUGCUGUUAAAGUCAAGGGCUUAACCCUUGAAAGCCGGUGAAUACUGUCGGACUAGAGUACGGAAGAGGCGAGUGGAAUUCCUGGUGUAGCGGUGAAAUGCGCAGAUAUCAGGAGGAACACCAAUAGCGAAGGCAGCUCGCUGGGACGUUACUGACACUGAGGCGCGAAAGCGUGGGGAGCGAACAGG
rnacentral:rRNA from 1 species